GUGGGAGCGAGCCUGCUCGCGAAUUUGCCAACCCGGUAUGACUGCAGUACCGGGAUGAGGCAAUCGCGAGCAGGCUCGCUCCCAC
rnacentral:misc_RNA from 1 species